rnacentral:rRNA from 1 species
GACGAACGCUGGCGGCGUGCUUAACACAUGCAAGUCGAACGGUGAAGCUCCAGCUUGCUGGAGUGGAUCAGUGGCGAACGGGUGAGUAACACGUGAGCAACCUGCCCCUGACUCUGGAAUAAGCGCUGGAAACGGCGUCUAAUACUGGAUACGAGAAGGGUCCGCAUGGGCACUUUCUGGAAAGUUUUUCGGUUGGGGAUGGGCUCGCGGCCUAUCAGCUUGUUGGUGAGGUAAUGGCUCACCAAGGCGACGACGGGUAGCCGGCCUGAGAGGGCGACCGGCCAAACUGGGACUGAGACACGGCCCAGACUCCUACGGGAGGCAGCAGUGGGGAAUAUUGCACAAUGGGCGGAAGCCUGAUGCAGCGACGCCGCGUGAGGGAUGACGGCCUUCGGGUUGUAAACCUCUUUCAGCAGGGAAGAAGCGAAAGUGACGGUACCUGCAGAAGAAGCACCGGCUAACUACGUG